rnacentral:rRNA from 1 species
GACGAACGCUGGCGGCGUGCUUAACACAUGCAAGUCGAACGGAAAGGCCCUGCUUGCAGGGUACUCGAGUGGCGAACGGGUGAGUAACACGUGGGUGAUCUGCCCUGCACUUCGGGAUAAGCCUGGGAAACUGGGUCUAAUACCGGAUAGGAGCCAUUUUUAGUGUGAUGGUUGGAAAGUUUUUUCGGUGUAGGAUGAGCUCGCGGCCUAUCAGCUUGUUGGUGGGGUAAUGGCCUACCAAGGCGGCGACGGGUAGCCGGCCUGAGAGGGUGGACGGCCACAUUGGGACUGAGAUACGGCCCAGACUCCUACGGGAGGCAGCAGUGGGGAAUAUUGCACAAGGGGCGCAAGCCUGAUGCAGCGACGCCGCGGGGGGGAUGACGGCCUUCGGGUUGUAAACUCCUUUCGCUAGGGACGAAGCUUUUUGUGACGGUACCUAGAGAAGAAGCACCGGCUGACUACGUG